rnacentral:rRNA from 1 species
GACAGAGGGUGCAAACGUUGUUCGGAAUUACUGGGCGUAAAGCGAGUGUAGGCGGUUUGGUAAGUCGGAUGUGAAAGCCCCGGGCUCAACCCGGGAAGUGCACUCGAUACUGCCAAGCUAGAGUAUCGGAGAGGUUGGUGGAAUUCUCGGUGUAGAGGUGAAAUUCGUAGAUAUCGAGAGGAACACCGGUGGCGAAGGCGUCCAACUGGACGAAUACUGACGCUGAGACUCGAAAGCGUGGGGAGCAAACAGG